GUGUCAGCAGCCGCGGUAAUACCGGCAGCACGAGUGAUGACCGCUAAUAUUGGGCCUAAAGCGUCCCUAGCUGGCUGAACAAGUCCGUUGGGAAUUCUGUCCGCUUAACGGGCAGGCGUCCAGCGGAAACUGUUCAGCUUGGGACCGGUAGACCUGAGGGGUACGUCUGGGGUAGGAGUGUUAUCCUGUAAUCCUGGACGGACCGCCGGUGGCGAAAGCGCCUCAGGAGAACGGAUCCGACAGUGAGGGACGAAAGCUAGGGUCUCGAACCGGAUUAGAUACCCGCGUAGUCC
rnacentral:rRNA from 1 species